UUCCCGGUGGUGUAAUUGGUAGCACAUCAGAUUCUGGCUCUGACAGUGGGGGUUCAAGUCCUCCCCGGGAAG
rnacentral:tRNA from 3 species